AAUCUAGCAUCCCUGUUAGCAGGCAAAGGCAGUAGGCCAGUUGUGGCAACUCCUAAUGAGUUUGGCCCAUCUCAGGGGUACUUUGUUUUUCAUACGCACCUUCCAACUACCAAAAAAUAUAUGCCUGUAUCCUAAGAAUAGAAAGUCAGGUACUAUAGCAGAUAAAGAGGAAUGAUAUUGGGGGUGGGCUCCUUUCCAGUAUCCUUCACUUCUCACAUGUGAAGGGGCUCUUGAUUGAGGCAUUUCCUGUUUAUGUUGGAGGAUUGAGCCUCAGGGGCAUGGAUGGGAUAUCCACAAAGAGCAGCUCUAUUCUGGCUGAUCCCAAGCUCAUUCAGGGUGACUCUCAAGGACUCUCUAAUACUGGAUGAAGAGCAGUGGUCCCCAACCUUCUUGGCACCUGGGUUUUGUGGGAGACAAUUUUUCCACAGACUGAGGCAAGAGGAUGGUUUUGGGAUGAUUCGAGUGCAUUACAUUUAUUGUGCACUUUAUUUCUAUUAUUAUUACAUUGUAAUAUAUAUUGAAAUAAUUAUACAACUCAUCAUAAUGUAGAGUCAAUGGGAGCCCUGAGCUUGCUUUUCUGCAACUAGAGAGUCCCAUCUGGGAGUGAUGGGAGACAGUGGCAGAUGAUCAGGCAUUAAAUUCUCAUGUGGGGUGCACAACCCAGAUUCCUCGCAUGCACAGUUCACAAUAGGAUUUGCGCUCCUAUGAGAAUCUAAUGCCACCUCUGAUCUGACAGGAGGCAGAGCUCAGGUGGUAAUGCAAGCAAUGGGGAGUGGCUGUAAAUACAGAUGAAGCUUCACUCACUUGCCCUCUGCGCAUCUCCUGCUGUGCAGCCUAGUUCCUAACAUGUCACAGACUGAGGUAGAGGACGCUUUAGAGAUAUUCCUACCUUCUCUGUCUUUUUUUUUUUUUUUUUUUGAGACAGAGCCUUGCUCUGUCACCCAGGCUGGAGUGCAGUGGCACAAUCUCAGCACACUGCAACCUCCGCCUUCCAGGUUUAAACAAUUCUUGUCCCUCAGCCUCCUGAAUAGCUGGACUACAGGUGUGUGCCACCACAUGCAGCUAAUUUUUUUUUUCUGCUUUGUGUUUUUUUUUAGUGGAGUUGGGGUUUCAUCAUGUUUCCCAGGCUGGUCUCAAACUUCUAAGCUCAGACAAUCUGCCUGCCUUGGCCUCCCGAAGUGUUGGAAUUACAGGUGUGAGCCACUGCACCCAGUACCCCUACAUUCUCUUUUUUAUAGAUGGGGAAACUGAGGCCCAGAGAGGGCAAGAUGUGCAUGCUCUGUCUGUUGUUUUGAUGAUGACUAUGUUAGGACAGAGGUCUACAGUUCCUUGAGGUGAUAAACAGCCUAUGAGCUAAGCGCUCUGUGGAUUAUUUACUCUUCACAACAGUUCUGUAAGACUGGACCGUAACAGUUCUAUAAAUAUGGACUAUUACUGUCCAUAUUUAAUAGACAAGGAAACUGAGAUUCAGAGAGGCAUAAUUUACAGAGGUGGUAAGUGGUGGAGCUGGGUUCAAAUCUAGGCCUGUUUAAAGAUCCCCCACACUGUGGGAAGAAUUCAGGCAUCAGAUAGAGAUCCCUCUAACAUCUCCAUUCUGUGAAUAACUGAGGCUGGGAUUCACAUAAGCCUCCAACCCCUGGGGUCCGUCUCCCAUGCCUCACCCAAGCGCACACAGGCCAGGCAGAUC
rnacentral:lncRNA from 1 species